GACGAACGCUGGCGGCGUGCUUAACACAUGCAAGUCGAACGAAGUGGCGAACGGGUGAGUAACGCGUAAUCAACCUGCCCUUCAGAGGGGGACAACAGUUGGAAACGACUGCUAAUACCGCAUACUGAAGGAGGGGAUUGCGUCUGAUUAGCUAGUUGGAGGGGUAACGGCCCACCAAGGCGAUGAUCAGUAGCCGGUCUGAGAGGAUGAACGGGAAAAUUGGUGGUGAGACACGGCCCAGACUCUUACGGGAGGCAGCAGUGGGGAAUCUGCCGAAAUGGACGAAAGUCUGACGGAGCAACGCGGCGUGAGUGAUGACGGGCUUUGGGUUGGAAAGCUCUGUUAAUCGGGACGCGGUACCGGAAUAGAAAGCCACGGCUAACUACGUGCCAGCAGCCGCGGUAAUAC
rnacentral:rRNA from 1 species